ACAGCAAUAUCACGUUUAAACACCGGUUCCGUACGGUCACGGAAAUUAAGCAACGCCGUGCCUGGUCAAUACUUAGAUGGGUGACCUCUUGCGAAUACCAGGUGCUAU